rnacentral:rRNA from 1 species
AUUGAACGCCGGCGGCAUGCCUUACACAUGCAAGUCGAACGGCAGCACGGGUGCUUGCACCUGGUGGCGAGUGGCGAACGGGUGAGUAAUACAUCGGAACGUACCUUAUCGUGGGGGAUAACGCAGCGAAAGCUGUGCUAAUACCGCAUACGCCCUGAGGGGGAAAGCGGGGGAUCGCAAGACCUCGCGCGAUUAGAGCGGCCGAUGCCUGAUUAGCUUGUUGGUGGGGUAAAAGCCCACCAAGGCGACGAUCAGUAGCUGGUCUGAGAGGACGAUCAGCCACACUGGGACUGAGACACGGCCCAGACUCCUACGGGAGGCAGCAGUGGGGAAUUUUGGACAAUGGGGGCAACCCUGAUCCAGCAUGCCGCGUGAGUGAAGAAGGCCUUCGGGUUGUAAAGCUCUUUUGUCAGGGAAGAAACACCGGCUCUAACACAGUCCGGGAAUGACGGUACCUGAAGAAUAAGCACCGGCUAACUACGUGCCAGCCGCCGCAGUAA